ensembl:snoRNA SNORA71 Small nucleolar RNA SNORA71
CCCUGCAUUCGAAAGUGAUCUUGGCUGCCUGUGCCCCGGUCAUUGGUGGUGCAGGAAAAGGAUGCUGGAAGACAUGUUUGAGUUUGGGGCAUCUGUCCUGACCCCUGCAAAGCUUGGAGCUUUCCUACA